rnacentral:rRNA from 1 species
AGAGUUUGAUCCUGGCUCAGGACGAACGCUGGCGGCGUGCUUAACACAUGCAAGUCGAACGAUGACGUGGUGCUUGCACCAUGGAUUAGUGGCGAACGGGUGAGUAAGACGUGAGUAACCUGCCCUUGACUCUGGGAUAAGCCUGGGAAACUGGGUCUAAUACUGGAUACGACCAUUCCACGCAUGUGGUGGUGGUGGAAAGCUUUCGGGUGGUUUUGGAUGGACUCACGGCCUAUCAGCUUGUUGGUGGGGUAAUGGCUCACCAAGGCGACGACGGGUAGCCGGCCUGAGAGGGUGACCGGCCACACUGGGACUGAGACACGGCCCAGACUCCUACGGGAGGCAGCAGUGGGGAAUAUUGCACAAUGGGCGAAAGCCUGAUGCAGCGACGCCGCGUGAGGGAUGACGGCCUUCGGGUUGUAAACCUCUUUCAGCAGGGAACAAGGCCAGGCUGU